UGUGUGUGCACGUGUGCAUUUUAUUUUGCUUUUUGAUCCUCAGACUAUAAUUAUAAAUCCUGAUUCACUCAUGUUGAAAUGACAUUAACUUGUAUGUUUUCUCUAUGUUUAUUCUUUACUCAGUGAGACGGUGUGAAUUGGAACCGAAGAGAUGGGAGACAACCUUUGAUAUUAUAAACAUUUUAAUUGUUUAUUAAUAUAAAUCGCUAUGAAUUUAUUGAGGUCAGGAAGCUACGGGUAUUCCACGCCCAGAAGAGUUUAAGUGACCCCACAUUAGUCCCUCUUUUGACAAAUUGUCAGAGAUAUGAGGUAUAAUACUCUCAUGAUCCCGGGCAGCAGCAGCGAAUUCUGGCUCCCAGUCAGCCACAGGAUCACAAAGACUAACAUGUCUAAAUGAAAGUAAUUGCCCUCUUUAAUGUGUGAAUAUCAAUAAAAAGAUGUACAAAA